rnacentral:rRNA from 1 species
AUUGAACGCUGGCGGCAUGCCUUACACAUGCAAGUCGAACGGCAGCACGGGAGCAAUCCUGGUGGCGAGUGGCGAACGGGUGAGUAAAGUAUCGGAACGUGCCCAGUCGUGGGGGAUAACGUAGCGAAAGCUACGCUAAUACCGCAUACGAUCUACGGAUGAAAGCGGGGGAUCGCAAGACCUCGCGCGAUUGGAGCGGCCGAUGGCAGAUUAGGUAGUUGGUGGGGUAAAGGCCCACCAAGCCGACGAUCUGUAGCUGGUCUGAGAGGACGACCAGCCACACUGGGACUGAGACACGGCCCAGACUCCUACGGGAGGCAGCAGUGGGGAAUUUUGGACAAUGGGCGAAAGCCUGAUCCAGCCAUUCCGCGUGCAGGAUGAAGGCCCUCGGGUUGUAAACUGCUUUUGUACGGAACGAAAAGGUGCUCUCUAAUACAGGGCGCUCAUGACGGUACCGUAAGAAUAAGCACCGGCUAACUACGUGCCAGCCGCCGCAGUAA